UACGUCAUCAGCGCGCGCCGAAUUCAAAAUGGCGAGUGUUGUUUAGUUGUUAUUGAUCUGCGGUUCCGAAUAAACCCACAAUCCUUGAAUCCGGCGGCCUUCUCUCAUCUUUAUCCACCAUGAGCGAUGAGAAGCAAACAGAGGGUCGCAAUUUCUUCAUGGGUUACGAUGAUCUGAGCGACAGCAGCAGUGACUCGGACGGUCGUGAGUCCGGUGUGAAGAACCGAAGCGAACCGGAGCCUUCCGGACCUUCUGAAGCGCAGAGCCGCAAACGAGCCGCAGACGAGCCGCUGCCCAAACCCGACGCUCUGUUCCGGCUCAAUAAAGUCAUCGACUGGGACAGAAGAGCCGUCAAAGCGCCAGAAGAGGCUCCGAAAGAGUUUAAGGUGUGGAAGAACAACGCCGUUCCUCCACCACAGACAUAUGUGACGGAGGAGAAGAAAGGAGCUCCUGAUGGAAUGGACAUGGCCAUCAAAUGGUCCAAUGUGUACGAGGACAACGGAGACGACGCCCCUCAAGCCCACGGUGGCCCCGCCCACUUCCUGACAGAGGAGAAGGAGCCACAGCGGCCAGACUCCGAUGACGAUGAGUCAGAGAAGCAGCAGACGUCUGCUAAGAAGCGUCGCGUGGAAACGUUCCAGCAGAAGGAAAAGAGAAAGCGGGACAUGGGACAGGCCACGUCAGAUAAGAGCUUUGUGGAAGAGGAGAAGCGGAUCCUGCGUCAGUGUAUCGAGUGACGUGUGCGUUGAGAUUUAACCCGCUCCGUUUGUGUUAAUCCCUGAAUCUUUAGUCUGGAACAUUUUAAACUAUUAUUCCAGUAUCACGUCCAUGUAAAGAGGGUUUGUUUAAGUCACUUCCCUGCAGGUUGCUUUAACGAUGUGUUUGUGUUUUGGACGUCAUUGUAAGUAUGAUUUCAACUGUAAAUUUGUAGCUUCCCUACUUGUAAGGAACAUUCUCCACUGGUUAUGAGAUUUCUUGUAUAUUUCCGAUAAUUUGUAGCUUGGAUAAAAUCCUUCUCUCCGAGUCUCUGUUUGUAUAUCUCAUAUGUGUAAGUGUGUGUUUGUACUGAUGUUUUACUGUCACUAGGUGGCGACACUGAAUAAGAUUUGAUCCAAAGUGGCUUCGAAAGCUCAUUGAAAACCUGGAAUUAAAACUGCAUUUAGAAAUGGAAUUCAAUGCAGAAAUUUCAUAAGUAACUAUAGGUUAUGCUCUUAAAUAUUUACCUUCCCAAAACCAUAUACCUGGUAAAAGUGUUUUUUAGUCUUAAGUCGCUGGGGUAUAUUUGUAGCAAUAGCCAACAAUACAUUGUA